CAUGAGGCGUGUGCUGCUCUGCUCCUAGGGCGACCAAGAGGUCCUGCCCCGAGCUCAAGCACGUCCACGCCGACCCACCACGACAGAUGACCAAGCCCAAGGAGGAAGCAGCUGCUCAUCACUGAGGACAAGUAACUCCAGCAGGUUGACGCCGUAGAUUCACAAUGUGAAGUAUGAAGUGUGAAGCCGUGAAGCCUAUCAGCAAGAGUAGCAUAUUAUGUAUUGUAAUAUCAGG